rfam:Larimichthys crocea isolate SSNF unplaced genomic scaffold scaffold166, whole genome shotgun sequence.
GGUUGUAGUUGUAUGGUGGUGAACACACCUGACCUUGUCUGAUCUUGGAAGCUAAGCAGGCUAGGGCUGGGUAGAAUUUGGAUGGGAGACUGCCUGGGAGUACCAAGUGCUAUCAGCU